CCGGUGUAGCGGUGGAAUGCGUAGAUAUCGGGAGGAACACCAGUGGCGAAGGCGGUCUACUGGGCACCAACUGACGCUGAGGCUCGAAAGCAUGGGUAGCAAACAGGAUUAGAUACCCUGGUAGUCCAUGCCGUAAACGAUGAUUACUAGGUGUUGGAGGAUUGACCCCUUCAGUGCCGCAGUUAACACAAUAAGUAAUCCACCUGGGGAGUACGACCGCAAGGUUGAAACUCAAAGGAAUUGACGGGGGCCCGCACAAGCAGUGGAGUAUGUGGUUUAAUUCGAAGCAACGCGAAGAACCUUACCAGGUCUUGACAUCCGAUGCAUAGCACAGAGAUGUGUGAAAUCCUUCGGGACAUCGAGACAGGUGGUGCAUGGUUGUCGUCAGCUCGUGUCGUGAGAUGUUGGGUUAAGUCCCGCAACGAGCGCAACCCUUAUUGCCAGUUACUACGUUAAGAGGACUCUGGCGAGACUGCCGUUGACAAAACGGAGGAAGGUGGGGAUGACGUCAAAUCAUCAUGCCCUUUAUGACUUGGGCUACACACGUACUACAAUGGCGUUAAACAAAGAGAAGCAAGACCGCGAGGUGGAGCAAAACUCAAAAACAACGUCUCAGUUCAGAUUGCAGGCUGCAACUCGCCUGCAUGAAGUCGGAAUUGCUAGUAAUCGCGGAUCAGCAUGCCGCGGUGAAUACGUUCCCGGGCCUUGUACACACCGCCCGUCACACCAUGAGAGCCGGGGGGACCCGAAGUCGGUAGUCUAACCGCAAGGAGGACGCCGCCGAAGGUAAAACUGGUGAUUGGGGUGAAGUCGUAACAAGGUAGCCGUAUCGGAAGGUGCGGCUG
rnacentral:rRNA from 1 species